rnacentral:rRNA from 1 species
GUGAGGAAUAUUGCGCAAUGGAGGCAACUCUGACGCAGCCAUGCCGCGUGCAGGAAGAAGGCGCUACGCGUUGUAAACUGCUUUUAACCGGGAAGAAACCCCAGGACGUGUCCUGGGUUGACGGUACCGGAGGAAUAAGCACCGGCUAACUUCGUGCCAGCAGCCGCGGUAAUACGAAGGGUGCAAGCGUUAUCCGGAUUCAUUGGGUUUAAAGGGUGCGUAGGCGGAGCGUUAAGUCAGUGGUGAAAUCCUGCAGCUUAACUGUAGACUUGCCAUUGAUACUGGCGCUCUUGAGUGCGCUUGAAGUGGGCGGAAUGUGCCGUGUAGCGGUGAAAUGCUUAGAUAUGGCACAGAACACCAAUUGCGAAGGCAGCUCACUAAGGCGAUACUGACGCUGAGGCACGAAAGCGUGGGGAUCGAACAGGAUUAGAUACCCUGGUAGUCA